rnacentral:rRNA from 1 species
GCCCUAAUACGGCGGGCCCAUGACGGUACCGUAAGAAUAAGCACCGGCUAACUACGUGCCAGCAGCCGCGGUAAUACGUAGGGUGCAAGCGUUAAUCGGAAUUACUGGGCGUAAAGCGUGCGCAGGCGGUUAUAUAAGACAGAUGUGAAAUCCCCGGGCUCAACCUGGGACCUGCAUUUGUGACUGUAUAGCUAGAGUACGGUAGAGGGGGAUGGAAUUCCGCGUGUAGCAGUGAAAUGCGUAGAUAUGCGGAGGAACACCGAUGGCGAAGGCAAUCCCCUGGACCUGUACUGACGCUCAUGCACGAAAGCGUGGGGAGCAAACAGGAUUAGAUACCCUGGUAGUCCACGCCCUAAACGAUGUCAACUGGUUGUUGGAUCUUUACUGAUUCAGUAACGAAGCUAACGCGUGAAGUUGACCGCCUGGGGAGUACGGCCGCA